AAAGCCCUAGGAAUCACUUUGAGUUUCUCACCACCGUCUGCAAUUCACCAAAAACACAAACUCACCGUAUUGCUCCUCCCCGCCUUCUCCUUUCUCAUCCCGUUCUCUCACGCCGCCGUGGAUACUUCCGGAACCGGCGCUUAUUAGUCUUGCUUUGCUAAUUGUGGGUUUCCAGGUUCCAAGAUUUAGCCUGCGUGAAGAGGUCUGUGGGGGCAACUUUUUUACCGGCUGGGGUUUGGUAGGAGGCUGGGGUUUGGUAGGAGGUUGGGGUGUGACAGCGGUGUGACAGCAUCCUGCACAUGACAGUAUUUCUGGUCAAUUAAAAGGUUGCUAGUUAAGGGGGCUAGAAGAAUUAGUUCAAUAGUUUGUUUUUUUGAUAUUUGAGUUGGGUUUUAGUCUACAGUUGCUAGUUCCAAUAGUAGAUUUUCAGAAGCGAAAUUGUAAUAAGUGUUUAGUUGGCUGAGCAGUGCUCUGAAAAUCGUUGCACUUUGUUAGGAUUCGAAUUUGCCUUGCCAAUAUGUUGGAGCUUAGAUUCUUGCUGGAUUUGUAAGUUUAGUGUGUUAGAUUAGACUUGCAUUAGACAGUCCAUAGAGUGGCAAGUAACAAGUUCAUUGGAGCUAGGAUUGCUGGUUGGUCAGUUGUUAACUUUUUCGAGCAUGUUCUUGGGAGUGCGGGAAUCUGAAUCAGUCUAUCUUCUUAAGUUUAUGAUGUGUGUUUAGAUUUACUAUUUGGUGUUCAAAUUCACAUUCUGCUAAGUUCUGAACCUCAGUUUGUUGAUCUAGUUCUGUUUGUUGCUGUGUUCAGUAAUGUUCUACUGGUUUCUACCUGAAACGUUGACUUGUGUGUUAAGGCCAAUGUUGACUAUGCUGGAUGUGCUGCUGCUUUCUGAUCUGUUAUUUUUCUAAGUUGUUUGCCUCUGUACUGUCAUACCUGCCUCACAAGACUACUACCACUGUUAUUGUUGUUGUGUUCAUCAUCAUCAUCAUAAUUACUAUCAGUUGCAUUCUCUGAUAGUUUACGGGAAUGUACAUGAGGCUACUUUGUUUCUUUCAUUUGAAUUUUAGGGUCCUUAGUAUAACAAUUGGUUCUUUCAUGCUUAAUAAAAGACAAAGUUCUCUUGGGAUCCUUCGAUGGCUAUAAUGGUAAAGAAAGGAUGGCGACAAAAGUGUUCUAGGCGGCUUUCGGGUGUAGUGUGUAAGAUGUUUAGGACGAAAGGCUACCGUGCUAAAUGGUGUCACCCAAGCAUUAGGAAACGACUUGCAGCGUUGAGAGCAACUGAGGCCUUCAAAAAGAAAUCUGAUCAAUGUUCUAUUAACAGAAAGAAGCCCGGAAAAGCAACUCCUAUCCAUUGCCAAGGAUCUAAAUCAUCUGAGCAAAUUAGGAUUGAACUGGAGAAAAAGUUGUUGCGUCCGCCUACUCCAUCCGAGGUGUAUUACAAAGGCCAUGCUAAAGAGAAUGGUGAAUUCGUGGACGAGACGUCACGAAAAGUUUGGAGUGAUUUUCAAAAGCAAGAAAUCUACCAACUUGGAGGACGAGAAUCCUAAAACAGAGAACGAGUUGUUUUUGGAAGCCUUAGGUGGACGGAAGAAUGGGAGAGUGUAUGGUCUUGGAAAUGCUACUGACAACUUUUAUGUGAAACCAAACAACGACCCAAGUUUAAAGAAAGUGCGGAAUGAGCUAGUGACUAAUUUGACAAGUAAUGUUGAACAACUCUCUUCGAAAAAUUUGGAACAAGCAAAGGAGAUUGAAGAAACAAAGGUAGUCCUAGUUGAAACAACAACGAAGCUCAGUGAAACAGAAAAAAAGCUUGAUGAAACAACAAAACAGCUUAAAGAAACAACAGAUGCUAUGAAGGCUAUGCAAGCUCAGAUUCUUUUCCUAACUGAAAAUGUCAUUUUGCGCCAAUCUUGAAUGCUUAUUAGAAGAAAUUGCUUUGCUUUGUGUUAUUUUUCGCUUGUUGAUUGAAACACAUUUGGACAAUUAGUUUUGCGUAGAGUUUUUUUUUUUUUCUAGUGAAAGUAGGUAAACAAUUCUUAUAUUUAGGGGAUUACAGGUUAUAUAUUGCAUAUCUAUGCAAUUUUGUUGGGAUGAAACUUCUUUUGUAGGGUUUGAAUUGAUUUUUAAUGAAAUUUUUUAUUAUUUA